UUGGCACCGUACACUGUUCAUCUUGGCCUGAAAUUAAGUGGCGGUUUUGCCCUUCCGUUUUCUUUUACUUACAGGCUGCCAUCAUUCUAUAAUCUUCUACAAUUUUCUUCUAUUAAUCUUCUACAUCCGUCUUAACGCAGCAGAAGACACCGCAGUCUGGAGACCGAGAUUGAUUGGGUUUUCAAUUUCGAUGCAUGCAACAUUGGGUGGUAAAAAAUUGAAAUGGAGAGGAAAUAGCUUUGGUUGGAUAGAUCGUUUGAGAAUUAGGUGAGAGUUUGAGAGAGACCGAGAUUGAUUGGGUUAGCGAUAGGGUCUGGAUUCGAAUUCUGUAAUUGGAUUCAAUCUCCAAGAGCUUUUGCUGGACUUAGACAGAGUGAGAGACAGAGAGGGAGGGGACUUUUCCCUGCCAAUCAGAAGAAGAAGAAGAUUUGCUGAGGGAAAGUGUAGAGAGGAGGAAGGGAUGUCUUGGUCGAUUUCAGUCUGUUCCCAAUUUGGGAAUUUCCGUUUCAAAUUCAAAGUUUCAAUCUUUAUAGUAUCAGCUAACUUAUAAAUUUUUCGGUCAACUUUGUUGGGUUCGGCUUUUUGAGAUUAUUCGAUUAAGGGUUUUAUGUAAAAUUUCAUCGUCCUGAGCUUGGCUUUGAUAGUUUCUUCUAAUCGAUUGCCAUUUGAAGUGGUCUGUGCUUUGGGUUCAUCUGUUUCUUUUGCUUUGCCUCAUUUGUUUUAGAUUUUGUGUUCAUAUAGUAUACAUCGAACGGAGCCUGCAUCAUAAGACAGAUUUUGUGGGUAUUUUUUUUUUUUUUUUUUGAGCUUCUUCUGAUCGUUUAUAAGCUCAAAUGGUUGUUUUAUGUGUUUUUUUUGUUAAUUGGUAAUUUCUUUAUUUAGGGCACGAUCUGCUGCACGAAUGAGUUUUCUUCUCUGAAUUUCUUAACUGCCAAUUCUAAUCCCCUUAAAAGAAGUAAACCCUUAAACCUUUUAUCCUUUUGGGAAUUUGAUUAAAGUUUGUUCCUUUUCUUUGUGUGAUUGAAACUUGGCAGUCAAAACUAUUGCAAAGAAGAUAGAAAAACAACCUGGAAUUAUAGUGACCCUGUUUGAAAGUGUUAUCAAAACUUAAUUAGUUUUAUGCAUCUUAGGCAAACUUUAAUUGAAAAUAGGUUGGGUGUUAGGUCGACUGCUGAGAUAAUCAAGGAAGUGAAUGGAAAUUUAAGGUAUUCAAAUUUUGGUCUGUAUAGUACUUGGAAGUGAAAACGCAAACUUAGUUCAAGGUGAAUGCCUUACCGGAAAAAAUGUAUACAUAUAGUGCUGCAAUUAUAAAAGUACAGUUUAGUGGCACCAGCAUUACCCUUUUGCAUUCCAAGCCUAUUUAUAAAAGUAUAGUAUAUAUAACAGCUUCACAGGAAUACGACAUUCUGAAAUUACUUGAAAUAUAAGGUGAAGCACUCAAUUCAAAUCUGGAAGCACUCAACUUUCCUAAAUUUACCACCCUCUGCUUGCUUUAGUUAUACUAAAUAAACUUACUUCAGUUAUACUAUAAAUAAACAACUUACUAUAAUUUAUAAGUGUGCAUAAAAUCUUCCAUGACUUUUUCAUAUAUGCUGUUAGUUUUCAAAUUUUGCUCAUAUUACUUUGGAAAGCUUUCUUGGUCGUUAUGUUUAUAUGUUUGCUUGAACUGGAAAAAUUAAUGAAUAGAAUGCAUCACUGAAGAGUGUGAUACUUUGGCUUUUCACUUUUUAUAAAAAUCAAAAACAGAAAAGUUGAUUCAAUAUGAAGUCCAAUACCAUGAUGCAUAUACAGCAAAACAUUACUAGGAUUAAGCAUUGAGAACUGGUUUGAAACACUGCAUCAAUGAUGUUGUAUUUGCAUUUGAAAAUCACAGUAAAAGAGACCUGCUUUCAUUGUUAUUACUACAAGAUCUGACGAGAUGUUGAAAUGAUUGUUAAUUCACUGUUCUAAUCUUCAUAAUCCAUUAUUUUAAAUAAUACAGUAUAUGAGUCAUUUUUUGACUAUUAAUUCAGCCUGAAAAGACAAACACUCAUCUAUAUUAGCCUAUUGUAUGUUUGAUUUUAUGCAGAACACUAGCUUCCAAGGAUUCACACUUGAAAAAACCAACAGAGAUAAUGCUACUGUAAGAAGAACUGAACUACUUAAUUGGAAGAACAACUAGAGCUGCAAAGACAAUCCAGACUGAACUUGACAGACUAUUAGGCCCGACCUAACAUCAAGAGCCUGAUAUCACUAAGAGACAAGCACAAUGGGAGUACCUGUAGAAGCAUAGCUUGCACUCCUCCUAUAACAGUUCCCUUCUAUCUAAGGCAUUGCACUUCUUAAAUUUCGCGUACAUUUGGUUUUGCCUGAGUCAGUUGUUCUGUCAAGUAUAUUGAAUAAAGUUUAUCAUAUUUUUAUCUAA